CACACGCAUAUAUUAGGAAGGUAAAUCAAUGAAAGUGAUGUUCAGGAAAAGCAAAUGGUAAGAUUCUAGGGCAUAUUAAGAAGUGGCAGACACGGAGGGAGGCCAAGUGGAAGAAUUUGUGUUGAAUUCAGUACUUUGUUUUCACCUUUAAAAGUUUGAAGGUUUGAAAGCCUUGCUAAUCUUCGAUCUCUCUCUGAAUGAAUACAGAAAUUAGAGGUGGAAAAAUGGUCAGGCAGACUUGCAAUAGACCAGGUAAGAGGUAAUGGUAGGUCUGGAACUAAAGGUAAGGCAGGCAGAAUUUAAAAGAGCUUGGCUGAAAGAUGAUGUGGAAGCAGAAUCUACAGAAUUUGGCAAUUGAUUAAUUGGAUUUCUAGUCAGAGGGGGUAACACAAGAAUACAUGAGGGAAGAAGAGAAAAAUCAAAGGUAGUGGAGGUUUUGAGUUUGGUGAUAAGUAUAGAAGAUGGAGAAAAAGACAAAACUAGGCAUAGGAACUGCUUUUUAAGGAAUCACUUGGGAUUUGGACAUCUUAUGAGUUUGAAAGGUUGUUAGAAAUGGACACUAAGAAAUUAGAUGUAAAGAUUUUGAAGGAAGGGAAAGUAGAUUGAACUGGAAAAAUAGAUUGGGGGGUUAUCCUCCUAGCAGUGCUAUCACUGUGAGAAAAAAAAAGAAAACAAAGGGCAGAAUCUUGGAGAGCAGCUUUUUAGAAAAUUGUUGCUCCAAGUGUGGUUAAGGGCCUAGCAGCACUGGCAACACCAGGUCUCAGGCCUCCCCGACCCCCAGACAUGCUAAAUCAGACCUUUUAUUUAACAAGAACCCCAGGUGAUUUAUAUCACAUUAAAACUAGAGAAGCUCAGACCUAGUUGAGAAAAGCCAACGAAUAAAGGAGGGAACUAAUCUAGAUAGAGAAGCCAGCCAAGAAAGAGAGGAGGAAGUAGGAGGAGAACCACAGUAAUGGGGAAUCACCAAAGCAAGAUAAAUUGGAGUGUCACAAAGAUGGGCAGGAAGAAAUGGUGAUUACAAUAUCCAAAACCGAAGAGGUGGACUAGCCUAAGGAAAGAAGCUGGAUUAUGCAGAUGACUGCAUGUCCCCCAGAGUUGGCAGGACCACCAGAAAGAAGGUGCAGGGAUGCAGGAGAGCUGCCCACAGAUCUGGAACACCCACUCAGGAUUAUUCUAGCUAUUUGAAUUCUGGAACACUCUGGGCAGUGAGGGGACUUGUUUUUACCAAUGAGACCAGGAGCUAAAACUAGAAGAAGAAAACAGUCUUUGAGCACAAGGCAACAGCCUGGGUCUUAGGUAAGACAGUCAGGGUCAACAGCAACAGAGGAAAGAAUCAAAGAACAAAAUUAGCAUCAUAUAAGAAAAACUGGGGAGUUCCCGUCGUGGCGCAGUGGUUAACGAAUCCGACUAGGAACCAUGAGGUUGCAGGUUCGGUCCCUGCCCUUGCUCAGUGG